ACGGGGGCCCGCACAAGCGGCGGAGCAUGCGGAUUAAUUCGAUGCAACGCGAAGAACCUUACCAAGGCUUGACAUACACCGGUAACGCCCAGAGAUGGGUGCCCCUUUGUGGUCGGUGGACAGGUGGUGCAUGGUUGUCGUCAGCUCGUGUCGUGAGAUGUUGGGUUAAGUCCCGCAACGAGCGCAACCCUCGUCCUAUGUUGCCAGCGGGUCAUGCCGGGGACUCAUGGGAGACUGCCGGGGUCAACUCGGAGGAAGGUGGGGAUGACGUCAAAUCAUCAUGCCCCUUAUGUCUUGGGCUUCACGCAUGCUACAAUGGCCGGUACAAAGGGCUGCGAUACCGCGAGGUGGAGCGAAUCCCAGAAAGCCGGUCUCAGUUCGGAUUGGGGUCUGCAACUCGACCCCAUGAAGUCGGAGUCGCUAGUAAUCGCAGAUCAGCAACGCUGCGGUGAAUACGUUCCCGGGCCUU
rnacentral:rRNA from 1 species